rnacentral:rRNA from 1 species
GACGAACGCUGGCGGCGUGCUUAACACAUGCAAGUCGAGCGAUGAAGCACCUUCGGGUGUGGAUUAGCGGCGAACGGGUGAGGAACACGUGAGGAAUCUGCCUUCCACUCUGGGAUAACUCCGGGAAACCGGGGCUAAUACCGGAUACUUUCAACUGGCGGCAUCGCCGGUUGAAGAAAGUUUUUCGGUGGAAGAUGACCUCGCGGCCUAUCAGCUUGUUGGUGAGGUAAAGGCUCACCAAGGCGACGACGGGUAGCCGGCCUGAGAGGGCGACCGGCCACACUGGGACUGAGACACGGCCCAGACUCCUACGGGAGGCAGCAGUGGGGAAUAUUGGGCAAUGGAGGAAACUCUGACCCAGCGACGCCGCGUGAGGGAUGAAGGCCUUCGGGUUGUAAACCUCUUUCAGCAGGGAAUAAGCGAAAGUGAAGGUACCUGCAGAAGAAGCACCGGCUAACUAUGUG